GGUAUUUUAAACAAUUAUAACGAACCAGUAUACAAUUAAAAUCUCGCAUAACCAUGAAUACUGCAUUGAUACUCGCUUUGUUUUUGUUUUUCAACGUAUUAAACUUUUCGGCAGCAGUUGAUUGUGAUGCUGUGGGUAUACAAUGCCGUGCGAGUGCAAUGGCAGGAGGUAAAAACUGCAAUUCCGUAGCUAAAGCCAAAAAGUGCUUGCAAGAUGCUAACUGUUUCAGUGGAAAUAACAAAGAACAAUAUGAAAAGUAUUAUAAUGAACUUAAAUGUGGUGGAAGCAUGACAGUUGCUAGUAUAACAUUGCUGUCGCUGACAAGCCUUUUUAUGGCAGUCAAGAGCUACUUUUAAAUGUGGAGAAUAACUGUUAAGCAGAUAUAGCGAUUUACUAUUUGAGAGACAAUAAAUAAACUAUAUGUUCCAACUGAAUAUCUUAAAGGAAGCUGAAACCAAGACUGAAGUUAUUAAUUUAUUUUGAUUUAUUCUAUCGAUCUUGGCAUUUUAAUGCAGGCCCAAAUUGCCUCAAAACACAUCCAUAAUAUCUCUGCCAGUUUAUCUAAUGACAUGU